rnacentral:rRNA from 1 species
CGUCCCGCCGGCGACCGGCGCACGGGUGAGUAACACGUAUGCAACCUGGCCGCCACAGGGGGAUAACCCGCGGAAACGCGGCCUAAUACCCCGUGACGCCACCGGAGGGCAUCCUCCGGUGGCCAAAGGAGCGAUCCGGUGGCGGAUGGGCAUGCGGCGCAUUAGCUAGACGGCGGGGUGACGGCCCACCGUGGCGACGAUGCGUAGGGGUUCUGAGAGGAAGGCCCCCCACACUGGGACUGAGACACGGCCCAGACUUCUACGGAAGGCAGCAG